GAUGAACGCUAGCGGCAGGCUUAACACAUGCAAGUCGAGGGACGGUAGCAAUACUGGACCGGCAAACGGGUGCGGAACACGUACGCAACCUACCCCAAACAGGUGAAUAGCCUUCUGAAAAGGAGAUUAAUACACCGUAAAAUAUAGAGAUGGCAUCAUUUUUAUAUAAUAGCUGAGGCGGUUUGGGAUGGGCGUGCGCCUGAUUAGGUAGUUGGUAGGGUAACGGCCUACCAAGCCAACGAUCAGUAACUGGUGUGAGAGCACGACCAGUCACACGGGCACUGAGACACGGGCCCGACUCCUACGGGAGGCAGCAGUGAGGAAUAUUGGUCAAUGGACGCAAGUCUGAACCAGCCAUGCCGCGUGAAGGAUGAAGGCGUUCUGCGUUGUAAACUUCUUUUAUCUGGGAAGAAACCUACUUUUUCUAAAGUAGCCGACGGUACCAGAGGAAUAAGCACCGGCUAACUCCGUGCCAGCCGCCGCGGUAAGAC
rnacentral:rRNA from 1 species